rnacentral:rRNA from 1 species
AGUAAAUAGAUACCUGGUAGUCCACGCCGUAAACGAUGUCGACUUGGAGGUUGUGCCCUUGAGGCGUGGCUUCCGGAGCUAAACGCGUUAAGUCGACCGCCUGGGGAGUACGGCCGCAAGGUUAAAACUCAAAUGAAUUGACGGGGGCCCGCACAAGCGGUGGAGCAUGUGGUUUAAUUCGAUGCAACGCGAAGAACCUUACCUACUCUUGACAUCCAGAGAACUUAGCAGAGAUGCUUUGGUGCCUUCGGGAACUCUGAGACAGGUGCUGCAUGGCUGUCGUCAGCUCGUGUUGUGAAAUGUUGGGUUAAGUCCCGCAACGAGCGCAACCCUUAUCCUUUGUUGCCAGCGGUCCGGCCGGGAACUCAAAGGAGACUGCCAGUGAUAAACUGGAGGAAGGUGGGGAUGACGUCAAGUCAUCAUGGCCCUUACGAGUAGGGCUACACACGUGCUACAAUGGCGCAUACAAAGAGAAGCGACCUCGCGAGAGCAAGCGGACCUCAUAAAGUGCGUCGUAGUCCGG